AGCACGGAAACAAAACAAGACAGGAUCCAUUCGUGACAACAACACGGCUUAACGUCCUAAUCCUUCGAUACGAAAGGAAGCCUCUUCAGUUACCUUGCGCUAGGACAUUCGGGAACACGUGUUUCAACGACAGGACCGUUUUCGUCCGCUAUUCGUUUCACGAUCGGGUUGUUCUGUGCUUUUCGUUGUUUAUUUCAACGCGUUUGUUAUCGUCGCAUUUCGCUGUUCGGAUCGUCGUUACGACGUGCGUCGCGUAAAACUUGAUUGCUCAACUCCGUUUACGUUUCUCUCUUUUACGCGAUGAUAAAGUGCGGUUUAUUCUUGGUGACCGGUCAGCGGCUAUCUUGUUCGAGCUCGUUCGGCGUCAAGAAGAUGGACGUUCAUACUAAAUUGUUUAUCAACUUUAACAGGUUACAUCACUGAAGGAGAUCCAAGAAACUGGCCACCGCAGAAAGCACCGUGCACAAGAAGCGUCCAUUUCCACGGAUCAUUUACACGAAAACCCACGGAUACAAUUGAGGGACGUAAUUUUUGCAAACAGUCUCUGUUGCACGACAGAGACUGUUAUCUUCGCGCCAUCAAAUCAACGAAUCCAGUCGGAACCUUUGUAAUCGAACAAGAGGGCUUGGAGGAUGAUUACAGGCGAGGGCCGAACGGUUGCCUCGAUUGCACCGUUGCCUAAACGACAACGACCCUCUUUGGUCAAUGAAUGACCAUCAGCUGGUGGCGAGUAAUCGGCUGUCACCUACAAACCACGAAGAACUCUCUAUCGGGGCUGAUCGAAACAGAAUAGGUCGCGCGAUUCAACGUGGAUAAGCUUCGCUGAAGAUCAACCCACUUGUCUGGCCAAUUUUCUUGUACUCCCGAAUUACCAUACCGUUAACUCGGGGCGAG